GCCUUCGUGGUGUAGUGGUCAGCACGCUCGACGCGUAACCGAGAGGUCCGUGGUUCGAAUCCCGGCUAAGGCG
rnacentral:tRNA from 1 species